CCAAAGGUUAGUUUAAUUUUAAAAUAAUAAUUUUGGGGAUUAUUGAUGGGUUGAUAACCACUCUUUGAA
rnacentral:tRNA from 1 species